UCUCUUUAUGCGGUCUCUAUGGGUCUCGUAUUGGGCUCUAUGGGCCGGUCUCUAGGGUUUCUAGAUGGUCUCUAUGUGUUUCUAUGGGGUCUCUCUGUGUCCCCAUAGGCUCCAUAGUCCCCUACAGGCCUCUAUUCUUGUUGCUAGGCAACGCCACGGACAGUCCCGCCCCCAAUUCCGUGGUGUUUCGGCUGGCCCCCCCACGGUCCGUGCCCCGCCCGCACGACGCAGCGCCCCGUGCGUUUGCUAUGGCGACAUGACGGCCUGUUUCCAUGGCAACGUCACCGUCAGCGUCGGCGGCCUGACCCUAUGGCGGGAGGUUCGUGGCUGCGUCCGUGACCCCGACUGCACCCAGGUGACGCGUGGGGACGGCGCCGUGGGGCUGAGGGGCUCCUGCUGUUAUGGCGACUUCUGUAACCGGGAUCUGAGCAACAAAACCUUCUUCGCCCCCAAUUUACCCCGAUUGGAGCUGCUGCCCCAUAACCUGCCCCAUAACCUGCCCCAUAACCUGCCCCAUAACCACACCGGGCUGCCCCACGGAGGGUCCAAGAUGGCGGCCGAUGGAUCCAAGAUGGCGUCCAAUGGGUCCAACAUGGCGUCCAAUGGGUCCAAGAUGGCGGCCGAUGGAUCCAAGAUGGCCGCCGAUGGAUCCAAGAUGGCGGGCGAUGGAUCCAAGAUGGCGUCCAAUGGGUCCAACAUGGCGGCCAAUGGAUCCAACAUGGCGGCCCCCAAUGAUUCCAACAUGGCGGCCCCCACGGAAUCCAAGAUGGCCGCCGACAGCAACGGCAGCACCAAUGGGAAGAGGAGCGGGGCCAAGAUGGCCGCCCACGUGACCCCUGCCGGCCCCAAGAUGGCCGCCGUCGACCCCCAGGGAUCACAUCCGGGGUCAGGGAGCCCCGAGGGCUCAUGGGAGCGGAAGUCCCUAGCGGAUGGGGGCGGGGCUAUGAGGGGGGUGGGGGGGUGGGUGUGGGUCCUCCUAUUAUUGCCCCUCUUAUAAUGGGACCCCAAUAGAAUCCCCCCCCAUUGAUGUCUAUGGGGUCCCAUUGGGGUCUAUGGGGUCCCAUUGAGGUCUAUGGGGUCCUAUUGGGGUCUAUGGGGUCCCACUAAUGGCUAUUGAAUCCUAUUGGGGUCUAUGGGGUCCCACUGGGGUCUAUGGGGUCCCAUUGGGGUCUAUGGGGUCCCAUUGAUUUCUAUGGGGCCCUA
rnacentral:lncRNA from 1 species